rnacentral:rRNA from 1 species
AUUGAACGCUGGCGGCAUGCUUUACACAUGCAAGUCGAACGGCAGCGCGGGCUUCGGCCUGGCGGCGAGUGGCGAACGGGUGAGUAAUACAUCGGAACGUGCCCAGUAGUUGGGGAUAGCUCGGCGAAAGCCGGAUUAAUACCGCAUACGACCUGAGGGUGAAAGCGGGGGAUCUUCGGACCUCGCGCUCUUUGAGCUGCCGAUGGCGGAUUAGCUAGUUGGUUGGGUAAAGGCCUACCAAGGCGACGAUCUGUAGCUGGUCUGAGAGGACGACCAGCCACACUGGGACUGAGACACGGCCCAGACUCCUACGGGAGGCAGCAGUGGGGAAUUUUGGACAAUGGGCGAAAGCCUGAUCCAGCAAUGCCGCGUGUGUGAUGAAGGCCUUCGGGUUGUAAAGCACUUUUGGCGGGAACGAAAAGGACUGUGCCAAUACCACGGUUCGAUGACGGUACCCGCAGAAUAAGCACCGGCUAACUACGUG